GGAAUCUUUUUGUUCCUCCUGAAAAGAAAGAUUAAGAAAGAAAGGGUUACCUGAAAAUCUAGUUUGGAUGUAAAUCUAGAAGCAGCGUUUUAGAAUUCAGAGGCAUUGAGAAAAAGCGCGAACGAAGAAGAAGAUAAGAGGCAUUUCAAUUUUCAACAGUUACUGUUACAGUUACAGUUACAGAAGCCAAUCAAUAAUCAUAAUCGAUGAGGAAGGAGAAAGAACCCAUGCCUUCGAGCCCCGCCAGCGGCGAAGAAAGCGACGAAAAGCAAAGCUUCUCCUCCAAAAACAAAUUCUCUUCCCGCAAUGCUUCUUCCAAGUACGAUUUCGUUAAGGUGAAGGUGUGGUUGGGUGAUAAUGCGGAUCACUACUAUGUUCUGUCCAGAUUUUUGCUCAGUAGGAUGCUAACUGUAACCAAGAUUCCGAAUCAUGUAGCUAUUAAAAUUGCGCUUGAACUGAAGAAGCUGCUCAUUGACAAUAGCCUUCUUGAUGUCUCUCAGUCCGAUUUGGAGGUCAACUUAUUCAAGCUAAUGGAGAGGCGGGGAUAUGGAGAAGAGUACAUUAAUCGUUAUAAGAUGAUGACAAGGUUUCAUCAUCAAAGAGUUCCAUUGGUAAUCCUUGUUUGUGGAACUGCUUGUGUUGGGAAGUCUACUAUCGCCACCCAGCUUGCGCAGAGGCUAAAUUUACCAAAUGUGUUGCAGACAGAUAUGGUUUACGAAUUGUUGCGCACAUCAACAGAUGCACCAUUGGCGUCAACUCCUGUAUGGACGCGAGACUUUAAUUCAUCGGAGGAGUUAAUAACUGAAUUUUGCAGAGAAUGCAGAGUUGUUCGCAAAGGUUUGGCUGGUGAUUUGAAAAAGGCAAUGAAGGAUGGAAAGCCAAUUAUAAUUGAGGGAAUUCAUUUGGACCCUAGCAUUUAUUUAGUAGACGAUGAGAAAUCACCUGCUGCUGUACAAGCUGAAAAUAAAGGGAUGAAUUCAACAUCUGCGGCACCAGACGAUAGUGCUACAGUUCAAACAGAAAAUACUAAUGAAGGUAGUCAUGAUGAGAAUCAUGGUGGUUCCAGGACUCUGAGUUCAACUGAAGGAAUAUCUAUGGACCAAGUUGAUGCAGUAUCAAAUAAUGUCGCAUCCAUUAAUCUAGCUGGAAGCACAUCUGGGCAUGAAGUUUCUCAUGCAGGUGCUGCUUCUCUCAAAGAAAUAGAGGCAGACAAAAAAAUUGUUACUAAAAAGUCAGGUCCUAAGCCAAUAAUUGUGCCUAUUGUUCUGAAGAUGGCUGAAUUUGAUCAUAAGGCAUUACUUGAGGAGUGGAUCUGCUCUCGCACGUUUACCGAGAAAUGCCCAGACAAGGAUAAAGAUAAGCUUAUAGCAAAUUUGAAAACCAUACAAGAUUACCUGUGCUCUUUCACUUCACAAGGGUUGACUGUAGUGAAUGUAUCAGCAACAACAUUUCCUCAAACAUUGGAUUGGCUCCAUAAUCACCUUCUUCAGUGCAUUGAGCAAGGUACUUCAUUAGGAUCAAAUGAACAUGUUGCGCAAGCUGGUGCAGAAUAGUUGUAAUUAUCCAAUUCUGACAGGUAUGAUAUUAAAUAUUAACUUCCUUUAAGCAUUAUAUAUAUUUUUUAUCUAUAAAUUUACAAAUGUACUUUGAAAGUCACUGGCCAACAAGUUAAUGGUUCAGGUUUAGUUAGCCAUGUGCUUUCAAUCUCACACGCUGUUGACUUCUUCAUCACAAGGUUAUUGAAGGCGAUGGUUUGCAUGUUUAACUUGAGGUUGUAAGUGGAUUCCUGAAUCUGUCCAAAUGCUAUCUUCUCAAAUGAUUGGUGGCUGCUUUUUCGCAACGUAUGAAAAUGAUAUCCCAAUCAUGAUAUCAUCAUGGCUUGGAAAGAGAAGGCAAUACAAUAGGCCUUCAUAGAAGCUGUAAUUGUUACAUCAAUGUUUAUUGUUUUCUCAACAUUUGAUGCUGAGAGCAAUUGCACAGUUAUUGUAUCAUGAUAUAUCAUGUUGAAGCAAUCUCUUAUUAUUGCAAGAAUACAAUAAAGUUCAGUAUAACCGUUCCACUGAUUGAAAAAUCU